rnacentral:rRNA from 1 species
UACGGAGGGUGCAAGCGUUGCUCGGAAUCAUUGGGCGUAAAGCGCACGUAGGCGGUCCAGCAAGUCGGGUGUGAAAGCCCUCGGCUUAACCGAGGAAGUGCAUUCGAAACUACUGGACUUGAAUACUGAAGAGGAUCGCGGAAUUCCCGGUGUAGAGGUGAAAUUCGUAGAUAUCGGGAGGAACACCAGUGGCGAAGGCGGCGAUCUGGGCAGAUAUUGACGCUGAGGUGCGAAAGCGUGGGGAGCAAACAGG